GCUGUAACCAAUUCUGGAAAAGCAAACGCGACGAUUACUGGAAUAUUCUCAUUGGGAAUGGAAACGAUGAUUUUACAUCUACUCUAGAAGAGAUAGCUUACUUGUGGAAUAAACUUUCUCUCGCUCGCCACGUUUCGCCGUUUUCCCCAUCGCUAUGCCCGUUUGUUCUCGACAAGAGGAGCGUGGUCGAGCGAUCUCCAGGGAAAAGACGGACCAGACGAUUCGAGAGAGAAGCUGCGAAUGACACGCGGAAAUGAGGGUACGGUCUCGAGGACGAAUUCAAACUCGGCGAAUCUCGAUUACGAACAAGCCGGUCGCGGCAGGAAAUUCAACGGAAAGGAAUCUCCCCUCGAAAGGACAAGGUUUUCGGGCUGAAUUCUCCAAGCAUACGUGAGUCCCCGGAAGCGUAUGCUUCGAGCACCGGUGGGCGUCCACCGCGCGGAUUUAUCGACUAAUCGGUAACAGGUGCCUGGCAGGAGCCGAUAGCGUUAAAAUAAAUCACUGCAGGGUCGUGGAGCGAAACGAUCCCACGAACACACGAACGCAAAGGAAGGACUUUGUUGUAGGUGGUUUCUUACCUAUGAUGGUAGAUCGGAGCGACGACGCGUGUCGGACGAGCGCAGAGUCGAUGGAGCUUGGUCCCGAUCGGUGGAUCGGUGGUAGGUUCGUGAAACUGGAUGACGAGGAGCAGCCGUGCUUCCAGGUGGAAGCGCCGCGGCCGAUUGAGAGCGACGAGAGCGCGACCUCGGGGGUUGUGGCUACGUUUGAUUGUAGCUACGAGGUAUUCGAGCCGAUCGGGUCUUGCAACACUGCUAACGGAGGUGUCAGAAGAUAGAAGGAUAAGAGAACACGGAGCGACGAGACCGAUAAAAAUCGAUUCCUCCGCAAGAAUCGAAGCCCUUUCAGGACGUUUGCGAACGAUGGCGACGACGGAGGAGAAGAAUCGCGAAAAAUAUCCAAGAACGAGCUAGAGGGGAACGGAAGAUCCUGGCCUGUCCACGGCAGGCACUCCUCUAUCACGGUAUACCCAUCUUCCGUGUAAUUAAUUCGAGGAGGAACGGAUGGAUCGCGGAGGGGAAGAUUGCCUCCAGUGGCAUCGGCCACUUACCAGCUCUCUUCUUCGCGAGACUAUCGCCACUCCUCGAUCUUCGUCGAGUUUCCGCGUUUCUACCCCCAAAAGACACGCGUGUACUGUCGAAUCCUUUCAAAGUGUCGCGAUUUUUCCCUCGCCUAACGUCGCGAAGCCAUCUCCCUUCUUGGAAUUGCUAGGUCGAGGCUUGGUGUUAUUUCUUGGAUACUGUGACGAUGGAAUUUUAUGUUUAAGCUUUGAAUUUUGUAGUGACAAUAAUAAAAGAGUUGGAUAAAG